ensembl:lncRNA
ACCUUUGAGAAGAGAGAGCUAAGCUCCCAGGACUGUUGAAGAGAAGCACUGAGGCUGAAUAUGCACAUUUCAUACAUAGCCUAAUUUUAAUCAACCCCCAAGAGAACGCCUAUGGAAUGGAAUCUGGAAGAAGCUAUUCAUUUUAUAAAUGGAAGUUUGCCCGGCUUUACCCAUUUUCCCACCAACCUGCCAGCAACCACCAGUCUACUUCCUGUUUCUAUGAGUUUGAUUUCUUUCAGCUCAACAUAUGGGCCUGCCUUCGUAGCAGAUCUGGUACACCGCCGUGAACAAUGGAAACUUGUCCAGCAGUCCCUUCGGUUUGAGGAUGCCAUACACCUCGGCGGAAGUCUGUGGUCCUUGCAGCUUCUGCCCGUUCAGCAUCUCCUUCUCCAGUUCUUCAAUGGUCUUUCCGGUCGCCGCAAAGGCCUCAGCUACCUUGCGGUUCCGGCCCGCGUAGCAGGUAGUGAUCAGGUCGGCCACGCCGCAGCUCUCCAGGAAGGUGGCUUUGGACACGUGGCCCUUGCAGAAGAUCCUGGCGAAGGUGAUCAUUUCCAUGAGCCCCAGGCGGAUGACGGCAGCUUUGGUGUUGUCGCCGCAGUGGAGGCCGUCGCAGAACCCGGCUCCCACGGCCACAAUGUUCUUCAGAGCGCCACAAAGUUCAACAGCGUCUGCCUCAGCAACCACCUUAAUUCGAAAAUUUGGAGUCUGAAGAAGUUCUUUGAAGAGGAGGCCGUGCUCCAUUACCUUGCUGCCGAUGGUGGUCUCACAGAACUUCUCGGCAGCCACCUCAUUGGCAGUGUUGGCGCCCAUCAGCACACUGACGUCAAUGUCCAUCUUCUCUCGGAUGAUGUCAGAAAUGAGCUUCAGCCCCUGGGGACCCUCAUCUAUGCCC